UAAAGCGUGCGCAGGCGGUUAUAUAAGACAGAUGUGAAAUCCCCGGGCUCAACCUGGGAACUGCAUUUGUGACUGUAUAGCUGGAGUGCGGCAGAGGGGGAUGGAAUUCCGCGUGUAGCAGUGAAAUGCGUAGAUAUGCGGAGGAACACCGAUGGCGAAGGCAAUCCCCUGGACCUGUACUGACGCUCAUGCACGAAAGCGUGGGGAGCAAACAGGAUUAGAUACCCGGU
rnacentral:rRNA from 1 species